AAAUUUUUAACCAUCUAUAUACAGCCCUAAAAUUUUGAAGUUUGUCAAGAAAACCCUAUCAAAUUUCACAUACUUUCAAUUUAGUCCUUAAACUUAAAAAGUAUACUGUAAGAGCCCAUUUUUGCCCGGCCCGUUAAUAAAAUAAAACCAAAUAAAAAAAUUAAACAGUCCAGUAUUAAACCCAAACCCGUUACAAACCCAAGCCCAAAAGCAAAAAAACCUAAAACCCUAAACAGUUUCUGAAACAAGCCUCAACCACCGCAGCAGAAGCCCGACCCCUCCUCCCACGCGUACCUCUGCACGUAUGCCGCCCUCCACGUCAUCGUACGACCUCCGUACUCCUGCAGAAAACCAACA
rnacentral:lncRNA from 1 species